rnacentral:rRNA from 1 species
AUUGAACGCUGGCGGAAUGCUUUACACAUGCAAGUCGAACGGCAGCACGGACUUCGGUCUGGUGGCGAGUGGCGAACGGGUGAGUAAUGUAUCGGAACGUGCCCAGUCGUGGGGGAUAACGUAGUGAAAAUUACGCUAAUACCGCAUACGAUCUAUGGAUGAAAGCGGGGAUCGCAAGACCUCGCGCGAUUGGAGCGGCCGAUAUCAGAUUAGGUAGUUGGUGGGGUUAAGGCCCACCAAGCCAACGAUCUGUAGCGGGUCUGAGAGGACGACCAGCCACACUGGAACUGAGACACGGUCCAGACUCCUACGGGAGGCAGCAGUGGGGAAGUUUGGACAAUGGGCGAAAGCCUGAUCCAGCCAGUCCGCGUGCAGGAUGAAGGCCCUCGGGUUGUAAACUGCUUUUGUACAGAACGAAAAGGUUUCUACUAAUACUAGGAGCUCAUGACGGUACUGUAAGAAUAAGCACCGGCUAACUACGUGCCAGCAGCCGCCGUAA